UACGUAGGGUGCAAGCAUUGUCCGGAAUUAUUGGGCGUAAAGAGCUUGUAGGCGGUUUGUCGCGUCUGCUGUGAAAAUCCGGGGCUCAACCCCGGACUUGCAGUGGGUACGGGCAGACUAGAGUGUGGUAGGGGAGACUGGAAUUCCUGGUGUAGCGGUGAAAUGCGCAGAUAUCAGGAGGAACACCGAUGGCGAAGGCAGGUCUCUGGGCCACUACUGACGCUGAGAAGCGAAAGCAUGGGGAGCGAACAGG
rnacentral:rRNA from 1 species